CCUACGGGCGGCAGCAGUGGGGAAUAUUGGACAAUGGGCGAAAGCCUGAUCCAGCCAUGCCGCGUGUGUGAAGAAGGCCUUCGGGUUGUAAAGCACUUUCAGUGGGGAAGAAAGCCUUGGGGCUAAUACCCUCGAGGAAGGACAUCACCCACAGAAGAAGCACCGGCUAACUCCGUGCCAGCAGCCGCGGUAAUACGGAGGGUGCGAGCGUUAAUCGGAAUUACUGGGCGUAAAGCGCGCGUAGGCGGUCUGAUAAGCCGGUUGUGAAAGUCCCGGGCUCAACCUGGGAACGGCAUCCGGAACUGUCAGGCUAGAGUGCAGGAGAGGAAGGUAGAAUUCCCGGUGUAGCGGUGAAAUGCGUAGAGAUCGGGAGGAAUACCAGUGGCGAAGGCGGCCUUCUGGACUGACACUGACGCUGAGGUGCGAAAGCGUGGGUAGCAAACAGGAUUAGAUACCCGUGUAGUC
rnacentral:rRNA from 1 species